rnacentral:lncRNA from 1 species
GGGAUGGUGAGGAAGAUGACGUGGAAUUAGCAUUGUGGGCUGCACGUCUCAGUCUGCUAGGCCGUUUCCUUGGGCUGGGAAAAAGUAUCUUGCGUCGUCUCGGUCUUUCCAAAGGAGCUUGGUAGGGCACAACAGUUUUCCUCUGUCGGAGGUCAUAACGCUUUUGAUUAUCUUCAACAUCAUCAUCUUCUUUACCCUCAAUUUCUUCUGAUGACGCUUCAAGCUCCUGUUGAUUGUCAGGUUCAUCACUUCCUUCAAUUUCUUUCUUUUCGCAGGAAUACAUAUCAAGGUUUUCUUUAGCUUUGUUGAAC